UCCGAGUUGACCCCGGCAGUCUCCCAUGAGUCCCCGGCAUAACCCGCUGGCAACAUGGAACGAGGGUUGCGCUCGUUGCGGGACUUAACCCAACAUCUCACGACACGAGCUGACGACAGCCAUGCACCACCUGUGACCGCCCCCGAAGGACACCGCAUCUCUACGGUUUUAGCGGCCAUGUCAAACCCAGGUAAGGUUCUUCGCGUCGCAUCGAAUUAAUCCGCAUGCUCCGCCGCUUGUGCGGGCCCCCGUCAAUUCCUUUGAGUUUCAUUCUUGCGAACGUACUCCCCAGGCGGGAUACUUAACGCGUUAGCUACAGCAUUGCACGGGUCGAUACGCACAGCGCCUAGUAUCCAUCGUUUACGGCAUGGACUAC
rnacentral:misc_RNA from 1 species